rnacentral:tRNA from 1 species
GACGGAAUAGUUCAGUUGGUAGAACAGUGGAAUCAUAAUCCAUAGGCCGUUGGUUCGAGUCCAUCUUCCGUCA